rnacentral:piRNA from 1 species
UGCUUUCUCGUUGUUUUGUAUCCAGCCUA